GGUGACCUGGUUGACGCGCUGUGUUGAUGUUUCCAGUACUAUGCAGGAUUCAAACUCUCGACCUAAGGAUCACCAAUACACGGCAUUAUCCCGUUGGGUCACUGACAUUCCUGAACUGCAUGAAGCCUCUUUCACACGGUGAAAAUGUCGAUUGAUAAGCACACAACAUCAAGAAAACUCCAAGCACACAUUUCACAAGAGAAUUAAGGGCUUUCUUAAAAGAGUACAGAUCUGAAAAUGUACACUGUUGAUGGUAUCCACCUAAUAAUAGCUGUAUGGUAGUUAUACAAUAACAAAAUGGUCACAUAAGAAAGAUGGGCUAAUUGCUCCAACUUAAUUGGCCAAUAUUUCUCAAAUGGAACUAAAUAAAACAAAUUCUGUUUGAUUUUUGUGAGGCUUGGUCUAAAUAUUUUAUGUGGCGAUUUUGGUGAAUUUUUUAUUAUUUUUGUAGCCUGUGAAUCUUUUUAUCAUGUUUAGCUUUAAUAUGAAAUUGUGGGAAAAGUGUUCAGGGUUUUAUAAAUGCAUCUGGUUCUAGAGAUUAAUAUUCUAAAGGAAUUUUGAGUCCAGGUCAAUCUGGUGAGGAGAAAUAAGCCUACUUCAUGAUUUUUUUACAAUAGCUCCACCUUUGGGUGCAGUACCACAAAUUUGGGUUUAUGGGUGGUGGGGGUUAUUGGUAACCAUACCUGAAAAUGUCAAGAGUUUUCGACUCAUGGCAUAGGCUGCAGUAUGACUUUUACAGAAUUUGAGAAAAAAAAAGAAA